rnacentral:rRNA from 1 species
CUGCUUCUACUUUCUGUAUGGAGCUGGGAGCGUCUGCCUGUUGGAUGCCCGAAGAGCGUCAGGUUUGAUCCUUGGUAUGCAGAUGAACAUGACGAAUUACGGUGCUCCACGUGGGCUUACAAGUGGGAUAUCGUUUCCGAGAUGACGAACGAUGUCAAUCUCAUGUACCAAAAGUACAUUGCCGAGUUGGACACGAUUACGCCUGAGCAGGUAAGGAGGUCAUUACUUUAG